GAAAUGCGAUAAGUAAUGUGAAUUGCAGAAUUCAGUGAAUCAUCGAAUCUUUGAACGCACAUUGCGCCCGCCAGCACUCUGGCGGGCAUGCCUGUUCGAGCGUCAUUUCAACCCUCAGAACCCCUUGCGGGAUCUGGCGUUGGGGAUUGGCAUCCAGCCAGCCCCGAAAUCUAGUGGCGGUCCCUCCGCGACCUCCCCUGUGCAGUAGCGAUACCUCGCAGCGGGACAGCGGUCUGACCACGCCGUAAAACCCCCAACUUCUCAUGGUUGACCUCGAAUCAGGUAGGAAUACCCGCUGAACUUAAGC
rnacentral:misc_RNA from 1 species